UACGGAGGGUGCAAGCGUUAUCCGGAUUCACUGGGUUUAAAGGGUGCGUAGGUGGGCAGGUAAGUCAGUGGUGAAAUCUUUGGGCUUAACCCGAAAACUGCCAUUGAUACUAUUUGUCUUGAAUAUUGUGGAGGUCAGCGGAAUAUGUCAUGUAGCGGUGAAACGCUUAGAUAUGACAUAGAACACCAAUUGCGAAGGCAGCUGGCUACGCAUAUAUUGACACUGAUGCACGAAAGCGUGGGGAUCAAACAGG
rnacentral:rRNA from 1 species